rnacentral:tRNA from 1 species
UAGCUCAGUCGGUUGAGCAUGAUGCUGAUAACAACAAGGUCACGGGUUCGAUUCCCAU